GAGACACAGGAAGUGAUGUAAAGAACUAUCUCUACGUUUCACAUCACUUCCUGUGAGCACUCUCUCGGUGGCGUUGGGAGCUCUUGGUGGUGUUUGGCGAGCUUCCAGCUUUGGUGGACUUUGACAGUGGAAUUUACUGGGAGGAGCUCUAUAGGAUGGUUUAGUAAUCUAGGAAGAUUGCCAGAUGUUGGAUGGAUGUCAAGUGAUGAAUGUAUGAGAGGAAGUGGACAAGAAGCACACAGAUGAAACUGAGCCUUGAAGAGGUGAAGCAACUUGACUUUGAACACACACAGAAUUUGUGCUUAAGUCAGAACUAGAUCUCAGAUCUCCUGGAUCCUUCUCUAGUGCUCUUGAGUAGGAGUAAAGGCAUCUAGAAAUGGUGUUUCCAAAUUCAUCUGGAAGGGGUUGUCUC
rnacentral:lncRNA from 1 species